CCUACGGGAGACAGCAGUGGGGAAUAUUGGGCAAUGGAGGCAACUCUGACCCAGCAACGCCGCGUGAGUGAUGAAGGUCUUCGGAUUGUAAAACUCUUUAAGUGGGGACGAAGAAAGUGACUGUACCCACAGAAUAAGCCUCGGCUAACUACGUGCCAGCAGCCGCGGUAAUACGUAGGAGGCAAGCGUUAUCCGGAAUGACUGGGGGUAAAGGGUGCGUAGGUGGUUUGACAAGUUAGUAGCGUAAUUCCGGGGCUCAACUUCGGAACUACUACUAAAACUGUUGGGCUUGAGUGCAGGAGAGGUGAAUGGAAUUCCUAGUGUAGCGGUGAAAUGCGUAGAUAUUGGGAGGAACACCAGUGGCGAAGGCGGCCUGCUGGACAUUAACUGACGCUGAGGCGCGAAAGCGUGGGGAGCAAACAGGAUUAGAUACCCUAGUAGUC
rnacentral:rRNA from 1 species